rnacentral:rRNA from 1 species
GGAGGAUGACGCAUUUCGGUGUGUAAACUCCUUUUAUAAGGGAAGAUAAUGACGGUACCUUAUGANUAAGCACCGGCUAACUCCGAUGCCAGCAGCCNCGGUAAU